rnacentral:rRNA from 1 species
GAUGAACGCUGGCGGCGUGCCUAAUACAUGCAAGUCGAGCGAAGCGGGGACGGGUGAGUAACACGUGGAUAACCUCCUAUAAGACUGGGAUAAAUUCGGGAAACCGGAGCUAAACCGGAUAAUUAUAGCUGGUUCAGCGGGGCAUUAGCUAGUUGGUAAGGUAACGGCUUACCAAGGCACCGAUGAAUAGCCGAGCUGAGAGGGUGAUCUGCCACACUGGAACUGAGACACGGUCCAGACUCAUACGGGAGGCAGCAGUAGGGAAUCUUCCGCAAUGGGCGAAAGCCUGACGGAGCAACGCCGCGUGAGUGAUGAAGGCCUUCGGGUCGUAAAGUUCUGUUAUUAGGGAAGCGGUACCUAAUCAGAAAGCCACGGCUAACUACGUGCCAGCCGCCGCGGUAAUUC